GUAGGUCUCUAGACGUUACAGAGAACCCCAAACAACCCAAACUGUUAAUCUUCAAUACCGCUUUGUACUUACGAUCUUGUAUCCACUGAUUGUCUUGUUAGAUUAACCCAAUAAAUUUCAUUCACUCCGCAUACUCAAUCCUAUAGACACCCUUUUAAUCCUUCAAUCACAGACGUAACUCGAUUUCACAAAACAGUCAA
rnacentral:lncRNA from 1 species